rnacentral:rRNA from 1 species
GAUGAACGCUGGCGGCGUGCCUAAUACAUGCAAGUCGAGCGAACGGACGAGAAGCUUGCUUCUCUGAUGUUAGCGGCGGACGGGUGAGUAACACGUGGAUAACCUACCUAUAAGACUGGGAUAACUUCGGGAAACCGGAGCUAAUACCGGAUAAUAUUUUGAACCGCAUGGUUCAAAAGUGAAAGACGGUCUUGCUGUCACUUAUAGAUGGAUCCGCGCUGCAUUAGCUAGUUGGUAAGGUAACGGCUUACCAAGGCAACGAUGCAUAGCCGACCUGAGAGGGUGAUCGGCCACACUGGAACUGGGCCACGGUCCAGACCCCUACGGGAGGCAGCAGUAGGGAAUCUUCCGCAAUGGGCGAAAGCCUGACGGAGCAACGCCGCGUGAGUGAUGAAGGUCUUCGGAUCGUAAAACUCUGUUAUUAGGGAAGAACAUAUGUGUAAGUAACUGUGCACAUCUUGACGGUACCUAAUCAGAAAGCCACGGCUAACUACGUG